AACGCUGGCGGCAGGCCUAACACAUGCAAGUCGAGCGGAUGAGGGGAGCUUGCUCCCUGAUUUAGCGGCGGACGGGUGAGUAAUGCCUAGGAAUCUGCCUGGUAGUGGGGGAUAACGUUCCGAAAGGAACGCUAAUACCGCAUACGUCCUACGGGAGAAAGCAGGGGACCUUCGGGCCUUGCGCUAUCAGAUGAGCCUAGGUCGGAUUAGCUAGUUGGUGAGGUAAUGGCUCACCAAGGCGACGAUCCGUAACUGGUCUGAGAGGAUGAUCAGUCACACUGGAACUGAGACACGGUCCAGACUCCUACGGGAGGCAGCAGUGGGGAAUAUUGGACAAUGGGCGAAAGCCUGAUCCAGCCAUGCCGCGUGUGUGAAGAAGGUCUUCGGAUUGUAAAGCACUUUAAGUUGGGAGGAAGGGCUGCUGGUUAAUACCCUGCAGUUUUGACGUUACCAACAGAAUAAGCACCGGCUAACUUCGUG
rnacentral:rRNA from 1 species